rnacentral:rRNA from 1 species
UUGGAGGGCAAGUCUGGUGCCAGCAGCCGCGGUAAUUCCAGCUCCAAUAGCGUAUAUUAAAGUUGUUGCAGUUAAAAAGCUCGUAGUUGAAUUUCGGGAUCAAUUUAUUGGUCGUGCCAACGGUACGCACUGGUACAAUUGGUUUCCCCCUUCUGACGAAGCAUGAUGUCAUUAAUUUGAUGUCGUGGGGAAUCAGGACUGUUACUUUGAAAAAAUUAGAGUGUUUAAAGCAGGCUUUGGCUUGAAUACAUUAGCAUGGAAUAAUGAAAUAGGACGUUUGAUCUUAUUUCGUUGGUUUCUAAGAUCGACGUAAUGAUUAAUAGGGAUAGUUGGGGGCAUUAGUAUUCAAUUGUCAGAGGUGAAAUUCUUGGAUUUAUUGAAGACUAACUACUGCGAAAACAUUUGCCAAGGAUGUUUUCAUUAAUCAAGAACGAAAGUUAGGGGAUCGAAGACGAUCAGAUACCGUCGUAGUCUUAACCAUAAACUAUGCCGACUAGGGAUCGGAUGAUGUUAAUUUUUUAAUGACUCAUUCGGCGCCUUACGGGAAAC